rnacentral:lncRNA from 1 species
UCCUCUUCUUCGUAUGAAUCUAAAAUAAAUAGAACAAAAAAUAAUAAUAUUAAUGAUAAAAUUUUAAUAAUAGUGAAUGAUUUAUUCCUUUUGAAAUUUGAACUAACAAUAGAAAGUACUUACAAACUCAAAUGUACUCCAAUUGCGCUUGCAACCGAAAGAAGAACAACAUAGGCCUAGAAUUCUUUUUGCAAAUGAGGAUAGCUCAAUAGCUCGCGCUCCAAAAGCAUUCCACCAAUC